UACAGAGGGGGCAAGCGUUAUUCGGAAUUAUUGGGCGUAAAGGGCGCGUAGGCGGCCUGGCAAGUGGAUGGUGAAAUCCCUCGGCUUAACCGAGGAACUGCCAUCCAGACUGCUUGGCUUGAGACCGGGAGAGGUGAGUGGAAUUCCCAGUGUAGCGGUGAAAUGCGUAGAUAUCAGGAGGAAUACCGGUGGUGUAGACGGCUCUCUGGACCGCAACUGACGCUGAGACACGAAAGCGUGGGUAGCAAACAGG
rnacentral:rRNA from 1 species